rnacentral:rRNA from 1 species
UUUACAAACCUUACCGAAUGCAAUUGGAGGGCAAGUCUGGUGCCAGCAGCCGCGGUAAUUCCAGCUCCAAUAGCGUAUAUUAAAGUUGUUGCAGUUAAAAAGCUCGUAGUUGAAGUUCUGAUCGUUCAGGUCCUCAGCCUUAGGCGGGGAUUCUGACGGUCAUCCGCUUGCAAACAUAUGUUCGAUCUUCACCGGUUGGCUAUGUGAGUAAGCAAUUUACCUUGAGAAAAACAGAGUGUUCCAGGCAGGUUUGUCCGGAAUGCAUUAGCAUGGAAUAAUAGAACAUGACUGAAGUCUAUUUAUUGGUUUAAGGCUUUAGUAAUGAUUAAUAGGAACAGUCGGGGGCAUUCGUACUCAGCAGUCAGAGGUGAAAUUCUAAGUUUUGCUGAAGACGAACUAAUGCGAAAGCAUUUGCCAAGGAUGUUUUCAUUAAUCAAGAACGAAAGUUAGGGGAUCAAAGACGAUCAGAUACCGUCCUAGUCUUAACUAUAAACGAUGCCGACUCGGAUUCAGAUGAAUCAAAAAGUUCAUUUGGGACCGUAGGAGAAAUCAAAGUCUUUGGGUUCUGGGGGGAGUAUGGUCGCAAGGCUGAAACUUAAAGGAAUUGACGGUUUUGCACCACCAUGGAGUGGAGUCUGCGGCUUAAUAUGACCCAACACUGGGAAACUCAUCAGGGCAAGAAGAUUUUAGGAUUGACAGAUUGAGAGUUCUUUCUUGAUUGGUCUAGUGGUGGUGCAUGGCCGUUCCUAGUUGGUGGAGUGAUUUGUCUGGUUAAUUCCGUUAACGAACGAGACCUUAACCUGCUAACUAGUGCUUCGAUCUCUAAUCGAAGGCACUUCUUAGAGGGACUAUGUGUGGUAAUCACAUGGGAGUUUGAGGCAAUAACAGGUCUGUGAUGCCCUUAGAUGUCCUGAGCUGCACGCGUACUACAAUGGCACUUUCAACAAGUCUUUCCUGAUCCGAAAGGAUUUGGGUAAUCUUUUUAGGGAGUGCCGUGCUUGGGAUAGAUCUUUGUAAUUGUGGAUCUUGAACUAGGAAUUCCUAGUAAGCGCGAGUCAUCAUCUCGUGCUGAUUACGUCCCUGCAAAAUGUACACACCGCCCGUCGCUUUUACCGAUUGAGUGUUCAGGUGAGUCUUCUUGAUAGUUUUUCUAAAAAUUAAACAAACCUUAGCACUUAGAGGAAAAAGAAGUCGUAACAAGGUUUCCGUAGGUGAACCUGCGGAAG